rnacentral:rRNA from 1 species
GGGGGGGGGGGGGGGGGGGGGGGGGGGGGGGGGGGCGGGCGGGGGGGGCCGGCGGGGGGGGGGGGCUCGGGGGGCGGGCGGGGGGGUGACACGGGAGGAACCUGCCCUUGACUUUGGGGUAACUUCAGGAAACGGGGGCUAAUACCGGGUAGGAGCUCCUGCUGCAUGGUGGGGGUGGGAAAGGUUCGGCGGUUGGGGAUGGACUCGCGGCUUAUCCGCUUGUUGGUGGGGUAGUGGCUUACCCAGGCUUUGACGGGUAGCCGGCCUGAGAGGGUGACCGGCCACAUUGGGACUGAGAUACGGCCCAGACUCCUACGGGAGGCAGCAGUGGGGAAUAUUGCACAAUGGGCGGAAGCCUGAUGCAGCAACGCCGCGUGCGGGGUGACGGCCUUCGGGUUGUAAACCGCUUUCGCCUGUGACGAAGCGUGAGUGACGGUAAUGGGUAAAGAAGCACCGGCUAACUACGUG